CGCCUGUUUAACAAAAACAUGUCUUUUUGAAUUUUUUUUAAAGUCUAGCCUGCCCCCUGAAUAAUUUUAAAUGGCCGCAGUAUACUAACUGUGCAAAGGUAGCAUAAUCAUUAGUCUUUUAAUUUAAGGCUGGUAUGAAUGGUUGGACGAGAUAUUAACUGUUUCAUAAAAAUUUAUAAUAGAAUUUUAUUUUUUAGUCAAAAAGCUAAAAUAUAUUUAAAAGACGAGAAGACCCUAUAAAUCUUUAUAUUUAGGUUAUUAUAAUUUUAUAGAUUUUUUUUGUUAUAAUAAUUGAUAAUAUUUUAUUGGGGUGAUAUUAAAAUUUGAUAAACUUUUAAUUGUUUAAAUCAUUAAUUUAUGAAUAAUUGAUCCGUUAUUAGCGAUUAAAAAAAUAAGUUACUUUAGGGAUAACAGCGUAAUUUUUUUGGAGAGUUCAUAUCGAUAAAAAAGAUUGCGACCUCGAUGUUGGAUUAAGGUAUAAUUUUAGGUGUAGCCGCUUAAAUUUUAAGUCUGUUCGACUUUUAAAUUCUUACGUGAUCUGAGUUCAGACCGG
rnacentral:rRNA from 1 species